ensembl:snoRNA
AUGCUUUCGUAGUCUGUAGAUGUUAUGAUUGGAUCUUCAUGCUCAUGUGUGAGAUGUGCCUCUCUCCAGCCUUGUUAGGAUGUUGGGACAUUACCCAUCUGACA